rnacentral:lncRNA from 1 species
UUUUUUUUUUGGUUUUAGUGUUAAGAUUUCAUUCCAUGGAGAAAAUUACAAGCUAAGCUACAUAGUACAAAAUUAACCCAUUAUCACAAGAACAAAAGACAGAAUAGAGAAAUUACAACGGAUAAAAAAUGAGAAAAUUAGAAAUAAAUGAUAUCUACUUAAAAAUUUGUCUAUAUAUCUUUUUUUUUGUAGAUUGGUCAAAUAGGUUUUUUAAAAAUAAAAACCCAACUUUACCCUCAUUUUCUCUCAAAAUUAAUAAAAAAUUGAUUUCAAAAAUAAAACUUCCUGAUUUAUUUACAAAAGUUAAAUAAAAAUCUAAAGAAUCAAACCUUCCACUUGAGAAAGAGUCUCUCAAUGACCUAUACCUAAUUAACUAUUUUUUUUUUUCUGUCGUAGAUGAACAUGUCGGGAUAAAAAAAAAAACCCUACCCCACCGCCGUAUCUCUGCCGACUGCGUGUUAUCCGGCAUCGUUGGUCCUCCGGUGUUCAUCUGGGCGACGAUUGAAGAUUGAAUCAAUAGGUUCGUUGCUCUACUCUUUUUUUGUGAUUGAAUUAUGUCUUUUUCUUAUCUCAAGUCACAAUUUUCUGUUACUCGUUUAGAGAUUUGCGUUCAUAUAAACACAAAUUGAAUUUGAGACUUGUAAAUCGAUGUGAAUCUUUUUGUUUUCUCGAUUUAGUUGCAAGUCACAAUUUCAAUUUGCAUGUAGAGUUGUUAAUAUCUUUGAAUUCGUGUAACUCGAUUAGAGGUUUCAAUUUUGUGAGUUUUAAAAUUCCAAAUUUCAAUUGUGUAGAUUGAAUAAGUCUUUCGCUCUUUGAUUCAUGUGAAUGUAUAUGUGUUUGGGUUCGAAUUCAUUGAUUUAGACAGAGUUUUAUGACUGAAAUCAUGUCAUCUUCUUAUAAAACUAGAAGUGAAUAUUUUUGUUCUCUUAUUGAUCUGUUUAGUUCGCUAUUUGUAUGUGUGUGUGUCAUGAGUAGCUCAAGUACGUGUCUUGUUUAUUUUUUUAGUUAUAGGUAUUGUCUCUUGUAAAUCUUCUUCAGCUAAGUCAAUUGUAAAUCUUUUUCAGCUAAAGAAAUCCACAUAUCGUCAAUGAAAAUAUCUUUUAUCUCUUAAUUCAUGUUUAAAUCUUUAUUCAAGUUUGUUUCUGCAUGUUGAAAACAAUCUAGGAAGCACGAGUAAUUAGUUACUUUAAUUUAACAUACAAUUUUUUUGUUUGCUAACUGCAACUAUGCACUAUAAUUAGUCAUAACUCUGAAUGGUUUUAUUUAGAUAUGUUUGCUUUUUAUGUGCAGUCACUGCUAAGGAGUUUCACAAGCGCCUUUUCGUACAUGGUAAAGAUCCUAUCUUAAUUGAGCGAAUGAAGAACUAUCAACCUACAUCAAUCGUCGGAUAUCCUUGAAAUUGAUUGAGAUUAAUUAGCAUUAUGGUUUUUUUUUUUAUCAUCAAAACAGAUUACGUACUAACUAGUCUUGUGACAUGUAGUUUGUAUGACCUUUGUUUUUUUUUUCUUAUUAUUUAGGCGUUUUAUGAAUUUAACUUCGUAACGACGUUGCAGAAAUAACUCCAUUAAACAAUAUAAAUCUACACUAGAUCAAAGAUGAUCAAAUACUGAAAAAUAUAUAUAAAAAAAAUAAGGUACUAAGAUGCCGGCAAUCCACACAGUGCCGGCGUUUGGGGUGUGCAAGUGGAGCAAUUGUACCGGGUCCAAUUUUUUUGGGUAAAUUUAAGGGCCCAAUUUUUUUUUUUUCGUAUAGAAAAAAAUGUAAUUUUUAAAACUUUAAGAUAUAUUUAUUAUAAAAAGCUUAAAUAUUUUAUUUAGUAUGAAAGUGGUUAAUUUUUAAGUUUUUUUUUAACAUGAAAAAGGCCCAAUUUUUUUUUUUUUGUAUGAAAAUAGGCCAAAUUUUAAGAUUUGUACCGGGACUCAAAAUUAAUUGAGCCGGCCCUGAAUCCACAGUUACACUUCUUCAGAACUACAGAAGAUCUACUCACAUUUGAAGUACCCGUGACCAAAUCCAUCUACGCAAAAUCAAUAAAUCCUGAUUGAGACAUUUUAUCGAACAACUUAUGUGCGUCCGUUGAAUCGUCUUUUAAAACCAAAAUAAACACACAAAUAUUUACAAUUACAUGCAUUUAAUAGAUCUAUUUUUGGAAUAAUAAGGGAUCAAACUUUGAUUAAACCUGAUGCAACCUCCCCAAUUUGCUUGAAUCGUCACAAGUAAUCACUGUUUUCAAACCGUUGUGCCAAACGAGUCUUUACUUUUCUCUAUUAGUACUUGUCUUCCUUAUUUUUAGAAUCUCCGGCUUAUGUUAGUAUUUGUUUGUUAGUAAGUUUCUUGGUUCAUGUAUAAUUUGAUGCGUAGACAACGACUUCUACAUCUUGUAGAUUGUAAUCUAAAUAAUAAAUAUUCAUUUAAAACGUAAUCUCGAAAAUAUAUAUUGUUUCCUUUUUUGAAGAUUUACUUUCUAUGUUUAGAGUAUUAUAAAAAUUUCAGAAAACGAAAUCUACAAUAUCGUAGAAUUUACAUUCUAAACGAAGAUUACAAUUUCUAACGAUGGCAGAAGAUGUAGAAAUUAGUAGAACGGCUAUUCUAAAAUAUUUAGAACAUAGAGCAAAGCGUAGAAUGCAUAUUCUAAAUAUUUUAGAUAUAAGAUUUUCGGACUUCUAAAAUUUUCAGAACAGAAAUCUAGUCUAAAAUAUGUAGAACAUGUACAAAAAUGCAGAAUACACACUCUGAGUUACGUAGAAUUCUAGAAAACGUGUUCUAACAAAAUUAGACGAAACUUCAUCUAUCAAAAAUUCAACUUUUUUUUAGCCAAAUCUAAAAAUUUUCACUUCAAAUCACCCCUACUCUUGUAUAUCUACCUGUUUUUCUAAUAAUAUUUUUUUUUUAAAUAUUUAAAAUAGGGUGUAGGGGUAGUUUCGUCCAAAAUGACAAUUUCACCAAAAAGGUAUAUAUGGACAAAUUUUUAAGUAGAUAUCCUUUAUUUCCAAUUUUCCCAAAAAAAAUACUAAAAUAAAGAAAUUACAACAGAUUUCAUUUCUUUUUGCAUCGGUGUUAUUUCUUGCCUCGGUUUGUAGCUCCCAAUCAUGCGUAUCACGACCUGAUUGCAGUCAUUUGAAAAAUUCUUGUUUGAGUCAAACUAGAUUUCGUUGAUUAUCUUUCUCUCAAAAUUCUUUAGUUUCCUACUUAGACCUGACUGAAUUUUCUGAGUUUCGUUUUCGUUUCCCGUGACUUUCACCAAAAAUCCCUAAAAAGGCUAAAGAGUUCACAAUACAUACAAAAAAAAACAAUCAAAGAUUCAAAUGAAUGAAAACUGAACUUAAAACAACUCUAAAAUACGAUAUAAAAAAAAAUCAUUAGCUGUCUAUAUACAUUUUAGAUAGAAAUUGAAAUCCAAAAUUGGUCAUUGCCGAAAUAAAAAUAUAAAUUUUCUUAGCCAUUUUCAAAUUUCUUUCCAUUUUUUUUUAAUACAUUUAUAAUUUGAGUGGGAUUUGAUUAACAUAUCACAAACUAGCCGUUGUAAGCGCAUUUCCGAGGAAGACUAGCCGUUACGCUCUCAUUCCCCUUUUCUUUUUUAUUCUUCUCUCAAUUUUAUUUUUUUCCUUUACAAAAUCAUCAAAACCCUAAGCGUCGAAUUCAAUUUGCUUCCACAGAACAAUAGAUUUUCAAAAUCACAGAUCCAAAUCGCUUCUUCAAUGGCGUCCAAAACAGUGGCUGCUAAAGAUAUCAUCACUUUACACGGAUCUGCUGCCAUCGUCAGCGAAUUCUUCUGUGCGUAUUUUCAAUCUCUCACACUCAAAUUUCGUGUAAUUUCACAUUCAUUCUCUUCGAUUUGAUGCUUUUUCUUCUUCUUCUUCCAGGUUACGCAGCGAACAGGUUAGAAUUGAAUCGGUAUUUCAAAUUCAGUUUCUGGAAAUCUCCGAUUAGAUUGGAUAUUGACUCGUUUUGUUGUUUUGAAAUAUAGUAUCUUGUAUAAUCGAGCAGUUUAUCCAGAGGAAAGUUUUGUGAAAGUGAAGAAAUAUGGACUUCCGAUGUUGCUUAUUGAAGAUGAAUCCGUCAAAUCUUUCAUGUCUAAUCUCACUUCUCAGAUCUCCGGUAAUGUAUUUUUUUUUUAAAGAACAGAACAAUAGAGAUAGGUUUGAGAUAUGAUUCUUUUGUGACUGAUUUUGUUUUUGGUCUAAAGAAUGGCUUGAAGCUGGGAAGUUGCAGAGAGUAGUGUUAGUGAUAAUGAGCAAAGCUACUGGUGAAGUUUUGGAGAGGUGGAAUUUUCGGAUUGAGACUGAUAAUGAAGUUGUUGACAAAGGGUCAGUCUUUUUUUUUUUUGAAAAUUGUUGAAUGUGAUGUUCUUGUUUUCAUCAUCUUUAUGGAACUUUCAGUGUGUCGAGGGAGAAAAGUGAUAAGGAGAUCAUGAGGGAGAUUCAAGCUAUUAUGAGACAGGUUGCUUCAAGCGUUACUUACUUGCCUUGUCUUGAUGAAACAUGUAAGUACCAAAUCAUAGCAACUUUGAGUUACCAUUUCAACACUAGUUUGGGUUUAUUUGGAUUUUCAUUUUUUAUUGUGUUUGUUUAGGUGUGUUUGAUGUAUUGGCGUAUACGGACACGGAUGUGGCUGUUCCAUUCACCUGGAUCGAAAGCGACCCCAAGUUGAUUGCUAAUCCACAGAUGGUUAAGUUACACGGGUUUGAUACCAAGGUAAGGAGGAGGAAGAAACUUGAAACCUCUAUUCCGAUCACUUUGAAAUGUCUUAAGUGUAUUGGUUUUCAUUCUCUGCAGAUUCACAAAGUCGACACGCUCGUCUCAUACAAGAACGACGAGUGGGAUGAAGAAGAGUAACAGAAGUCGGGACACGUAUGCAAUGCUCUUUGUUCAGCUUUCGUUUAUGUCUUUGGGAGUUCUUAAUGUUCUAAAGGCACGUGAAUCCUUUAUUCACCCCUAUGCUUUUUUCUGUUUUGUUCUUUCUGAAUUGUAUGAGAAUUCUGUACCUGUGUUGUGUUGUGUUUCGUUCAAAAGUUAUCAGCUUUUCCAAUGUCCCUGUCCCUUGCAUUGAACAAUCUUGGGUGAAAAAGAGAUUUCUAAAAAGCCAAUCAAAUUUCUCUGAUUCACAAUGGAAUGUCAAAAGAGGUGCAUAUUUACAGUGACCGAUGAAAAUAAAGGUUUUUGGAUAAAAAAAAAGAUCUCUAAAAAGCCAAACAAAAAUCUCUCUGAUUCACAAAGAUGGAAUGUGUAUUUACAGUGACUGAUGAAAAAUAAAGGUUUCUUCUAGCCUUUUGUAGACCCAUUUUCUCAUCUCAUUCCUCGGUAUAAGACACCGGAUUGAAGAUCGUCCAUAUUGUCUAUGUUCCGAAACGCGUCAAUCUCUCUCAGACAUGUCCAUCCUCGUCGAGCCAAGAAAUCUCGGUAAUCUUCUUCGGUGUAGAAUAUCUUCUCCUCUUGAUGGACCGGUAACGGAUCAGAUUCAUCAUAGUGGCACACUCUAACGGCUAUCCCUGAAUUCAAUUGGAUAUUGAGAAACCUCUAACCAGAGAGUAUUCAAUGAAUAGCAGAGAAAGAGUGAAUUUACCUUCAUCAACACGGAGUGUAUAGUUCCCUAAAGGCAUGUCUCGGUCAAGAGAGCGAAUAACCUGUUCUUCAUCUUCUAGCCAAAAAGCUCGUCUUGUUCUUAAUCUAAACGCGGAUCUGAUAGCUUCCUUGAUUGCUUCAGCAGUACCAUCAAUCCCAAAUCUUCUUGUAUAAUCUCCAAAUUUCACUGUUAUGAUCCUCCCAACAAAUGGCUGACCAUCACCCCCUGCUUCAAACAUGAAACCGAGAAUUAGUUGUCAUAUAAGUUCAAAAGCUUGAUGAAAAACAAAAACGCUUGCAAUCGAAGAGGCUAAGUUAUAUAAGCUUUUCUGGUUACUUACCAUUUCCAGCGGUGUCUCUCCAACUCCAAGGAGGAACUCCAUUUGCCGUGACGGGAUCAGCAGCAAUGGGGAGGGGAAGACCAUCAUGAUCAAGCUGCGUUUCAAGAUUUAGCGUUGGCCUGCCAUUAGCUGCACACAGAUACAACUCAUAUAAAGACUACACAACUUCCACAAAUCAAACAAAAUGUCCAAGACAAAAUCGGCUUCACAUUAUCACUAACAUUCUAUAAUUUGGUAUUGAGUUCACUUUUAUUUCACUGAAUAAUAAAGCAAUCAUAAGUGCACAAUUGUUUACCCAAAGCUAGGACCGAUACAACCAUUUCUCUCAAAGUAAUUCCCCAACUAAAAAGGAAUUCAACACCACCAUUUAUAUAUACACACAAGAUUCAAGAAAUGUGAGAUCAAUACCUUCAACAGAUGUAAAUGGAAUACCAGUAUCUUCAAAACCUACAAGAAGAUAAAAAAAUAAAGAUCAAUUUUAGAAGAAAACCCAAAUUUACUAUAAAAAGUCAAUAUAGUUUAACAACCAAAUCAACAACUUUAUAAUUAGCCAUUAAUGGUCAAAAUCCUCUUAACUAGGUUUAGCACUAAAAGAGGAACAACACUAAAGAUCAGUCUUUUUCUUCACAAUCCAAAUCCAAAUCUAAACCAACACCCAUUAACAAAUAUUAUCAAAACCUGCAAAAAAUCCAUCAGAAACCCCAAAAUCAAGCAAAAGACUCUACCUUUAUCAGUAAAUUGCAUAAAGGAAUCAACUUUAGCAGAAGAUGGUGGAGUAGUAGUAGAAGGACUCUUAUACAAGGCCACUUUCUUGUUUCUUUCUGUAAAAAUGUCUUCAAUCUCUUUGUAAUAAGACAUCUUCGUUGAUCCUCCACUUGUUGCUUUAUCAUCAUCUUGAUACUUAGCUUUCUUAAACUCUUUCAAUAUGUUCCUCCACUUGUCCGUACACAUAGUUGGUGAUCGAUCAAACCCUUUCUCUCUCAUUUUGCUCGAAAUCUGUUCCCAAAGAUGUUUGUUAGAUUUAGAUGUGUUGAAAAGAUUGUCCAUUUCUCUCCGUAACGAGAUUAAGCAUCGAGUCUCGUCUUGUGCCCAUGUCUCUGCUCGUUUCUUUGGUGCUUUGAUGAUCUCAUGAUCCUCUCCUCCACUGCUAUCUCCGAGGAUGAUCUGAUGAUGUUGUUGUUGUUGUAUCGGUAGAUCUCCGUUUGAUGAUGUAACAUCGAUCAUCAUGUUCAUGUCCCGUGAAGGAUUGUUAUCGGAAACAAACAUGUUUUCUCCGAGGAACAAGGAGAGAUAGAAGAAGAUGUCAAAGAAAACAACACUUUUUUCUUUUACCAUAUACGCGUGGAAUCAACGCGCUGCUAUAAGAGCGCGUCCCUUUGAUAUUUAGUCAAAGCUUAUUAUCUUAAAUUGUUUGAAUAUAAUAAGACAGACAACAUGGAUCAAGAACAAUCCAAGGUUACAAACUUUAAAUCCAAAGAGUAAUCUUCAUGAUAAUUAUAACAAUAACAAUGUGUCCAACAAAGAUGGAAAUGGAGCAAGUUUUUAUUAUUUUUAAAAAGUUUCUAGAGAUAGUUGAAGAUCAUCUCCAUUGAGCAAAGGUAUAUCACCAACCUGAAAAACCAGUCCUGGAUUCAGUAUUUAAGAAACGUCUAACCAAAGAUUAAUGAUCUAUGAAUAGAGGCAAAUUUACCUUCACCGAAAUGGAGUUUAUGAUCUCGAGUAAGAAACUAGACAACCAAAUGAUUAUCUAGUUUCUUGUCCUAAAUGAUGGUAUCCUUUAGUGGCUUCACAAGUGUAUACCAUCAUCAAAUACAAACACUUCUUGUGUAGUCUCCGAAUCCAAAUUCCAUUUACCACACUCAAUAAACAGACCUAUCCUUCAUCAUCCUUCAUUGACAUUGAGUUUAUGAUCUCGGUCAAGAAAGGAGGCCAACAAAUUUCUUCAUCUUUUCGAUCAAAUGAUCAUCUGCUUCUCAACCUAUAUGCAACCCUGAUGGCUUCAGCAGUGUACCACCAAUGCCCAAACUCUUCUUACUAUACGUAGUCUCUGAAUCCAAACUCAAACCACUAAAACAGCCGACAAAUCCCAUCACUUGCUGUCAAACAUACUACUCAGCCUCUUUCUUGGGUUUUCCUUUUGCACAAUUCACAACAUCAUCUGUUUCUCAAACAGCUUCAACAGUACCAUUACUAGUCCUCCCCCACCAAACUACCCUGCUUCUUUCUUGGAUAUUUCUAUUCCUUAUUCUUCUUUUUUUUUUUUUGUCUUUUCUUUGUCAAACCAAAUAAGUAAUACUAAUAUGUAUACAUAUGACAACUACACCCACGGGAAGAUAUAGUUCCCACAAACUAAAGCCUAACCAUGGAGACUGAACCAUUCAAUCAUAUAGAAAAGAAAGGCUCAGAUGGAAUUUUAUACCUAGAGAGUUAACUUAGGGGCCGGCUUCGAACAAACAGCACACAAAAACUCUAGACAAAACGUUUCUUCGUAUUCGCUGUCAUUGAUGCACCGACCACAGUGAUAACACCUCUGUAUGCAAAGAGAACAAGCACGGCAUUCCUCAGAACCUUUCUUUUUCCCUUUACAAUCUUCUGCUGGACAGUCAUACACAAGCCUAGAAUUUUGACACUUUGGGCACAUCUCAAUAUCUAGCGCCCGGUCAUCAUCACAGGACACACAUGCAUCUCCUCUAUGGUAAAAACGCGGCUUCUGAAUAGUCUGCUCGACUUUAUUGUCUAUGUUCAACAAGUCAAACAAUUCAUCGUAAUGAUCUUUAGUAACUCCAAAGAGGCCACCAAUUUCUAAAUGCUUCACUUGAAGCUUUCCCGCAUACUUCAGAUCCCUCAAGAUGCUCAAAAUACCAUCAAUAGUGAUCCUUGUGCAUCCAGGCACACCAAGCUGCCAACCACAGAACAACAUUAGAUUUAAAUAAAAUCCCACAAAUCAAUUCAACCACGAAGCACAUCUAUAACAGCUUAUUAGUAAUCCAGAUAAACUUGAGUAAAUAAAGGAAAAAAGCUCACCUUGACUACUUGUGGGUUGCGCUCCAACACCCGCUUAAGACAAUCAUCAGUAAUUCUACAGCAAUCUACGAGCCUCAAACACUGCAUAGUACCCUGAGCCCUCUCAGUUAAAUGCAGCAGAGCCUCUUCCGUAAUCUUCUCAUUCAACGGUUGACAAAUGUGGAUAUGCUUCCACAAUAACGAGUCAUUACAAACAGUAGUAUGCAGAGACUUGCAAACCAUACUAACUGAAAGAAGAUCCUUCACUCCCAAGUGAUAAAGACAAAAACCAAACGCUGGAUGAAUAUUUGAAUCCUCUCCUCCAUUACUGCAGCGAUCACUACUUCCUACAACUCCACCAUUCCUCGCAUCCUCGAGGCUCAAUACCUCAUCAACACUACUAGCAGAUAUGAAAGCACCGUGACAAGAUCCAUCACCAUCAAAUGCUCCUCCAAACACAUUAUUGUCCUCACUACUCUCCGGGAAUUUACAUGCGGAAAACAAAGACCCAUCAAAUGCCCCACCAAACCCAUACAACGACUCCGAUCCAUUACUGUACCCACUACUCUGAAACUGCAUUGCAUUGUUCCAAAUGAAACUCAAUCCAGCAAAGAGCUGCUGAUGGUUUCCAUCACCAAUCCAAAUGUCAUCACUUCUUCUUCCAUAUUGGUUAUUAUAAUCCAAAUCCUCAAGCCAUCCAGUAAUGGCCGUGAAAGUAUUGUUGAUAUCCAUACCAAACGGAUCAGAUGGCAAAACAUCAAGUAUGUCAACAGAAGAAGAAUCUCCAUUACUCUUCCUUCCAUUAUCAAAACUUGAACACCAAUUCCCAUUGGCUAUCUUCAUUGGUUCCUCAGAUAGAUGAGAAGCAAAGGGUCUAUGUGAAAAAUUUAAAGCCAUUUCUAUUAAAUCUCUAUAUACACUUUAAACCUAAAAAAAAUCCCUCUUUUGUACACAAUCCCUGAAAAAAAACUCAAAACCCCCCUAAGAAGAUAGAUCAGAUCCGAAAAAAACUAAAGGUUAUUUUUUUUGGGUUAUCGAAAGGCGAUAGAUCUAUGGACAGAAAAAAAGGAAACUCUUGAUUUCAGAUGGCAACAAAAAAAUACUAGGCACCAGAAAUUUUCAGAGCUUCCUUGGAACCCUAAAAAACCUAGAGAAAAGAAAUUCGAAAUUGAGACGUAUUAACAACCAAAUUGGGUAACACAAAAAGAAUGAAUUGAAUAAAACUGAUUUUUUCCCUUUUUUUUUUGUUUUCUGUUUACUCUUCUUCUUCCUCAAAACAAAACUAGGGUUUUCAGAAAUUUCGAAACCUAAUCCUAAACAUUAUCAAGAAGAAGAAAGAAAGAUAUGAAUUUUGAAUCUGUGGGAUUGAAUUGAAGAAAUUGAAUCAAAGACACCUCUGUUAUUUCCUCACCCACGAAGAAGAACAACAACGCGAUCAACGGGAAAACCAAACCGAACCCUCGCCGUGAAACUAAACAAGAUCUCCUUUUUUGAGGGAAAUCUUCAGACUUUCGAAUUGGGAAUCAAACAAUUCUCACUUGGGAUUCAAAGAAGAGAGAAAGAUGGAGAAAGAGAGAGAGAGAGAACAGGUUGGUGAAUUUCGUCGACCGAGUCAAGAGAGAAAAUGAUGGAAAGGACGAGAAAAUUGUGCGAAAAAUCUCAACUUUUUUUUUAUUUUUAUUUUAGGGGUUGAGAUUUUACGUGGGAGAGAAAUAAAUAUAAAACUGGAGACAAAAUAAAUUUAAAAACUUAAAUACAAUAAAAUGGAAUGAGAUAAGAUUAGGGUAACGGUGAAAUUGUCAAAGUCUUUGGAAUAAUGGACACGUGUCAUUUGUUUAGUUCUUUGUCAUUCUUUCCAUAUGCCAACAAACUAGGGAUAUCUUAUUUUCUUGUUCGUUUUUUUAAAUCUAUUAUCCAAUAAGAGAUAUUUGAGUUUUUUUUUUUUUUUUGUCGGCCAUUUAGAUUCAUUGAUAUAGCCCAAAUGGGCAAAUUACAGAAAGUCCAGUAUACAGAAGAUUACAGCGAAAAUAAAGCUUAGGUCCUAACUAAAUCUUAAUUAAAGAAAAUAAAAUAUUGAAGCACAAAAGAUUUAGAAAUUGACACGUGUGGGAUAUGUGAUCUUCUCGAAGCUACGCGUCAAGCCGUGGAGUAGCAUCGUCAACGUCGCCGGACAUCGCUGGAUCGCCGAUUAGUCACCGCCGAUCAGCUCUGAAGCGAUGAGAAUCCUCUUGCUUUCUGCCGAUCUCAAUUCCUAGCCAAACGUCAAGAAAUCUCCGGAUCGAAUGAGAAAAAAUAGCUUCAAAUUCAUUCGAGCAUCACUAUCUUCGGGGAAGCUCCAUCACUAGCCACACCCAACUUGAUGUGGUCAGAUCUUUGCUCUUUCUUCUUUGAGCAAAAGGAAUUGAUGAAGAUAUUACUCCUCGAAAAGAUUGGAAGGAUCGGAGAGAAUUUUGAAGAAAAGCGGAGAUAAUAACGGGCUUAGAGAAAAGAUAUCAAAUCUCGCUAGUGCGAGAAGCAAAACCCGGACAGAGCCGGUACUGAGAAUUCCGACAAAAGCCGGAAAUUAUUUAGUUCGUUCAAAAAACGAAAAUAUGUACAAUUCCGGUGAAGUCCGAAAUCAAAACCGAAAGAAGACUUCUCCACUCUGAAAGAUUUAAGAUGGAUAAGAGAAGAGAAGCUUUUUAGAAUUUCCGGUUAAUAAUUCCGGUACACCGGAAAUCGCCUUCUCUCUGAGAGAGAAAGCUCCCAUUCUUUUUAUUUUAUUCUCUCUAUUUGAGUUAAUUAUAUUAGGAUGAUAUUCAACUACUUAUAUAUAAAAUACAACCAAUUACGAUAAACAAUGUAUACAAAUAAUAAUUUUACGCUGCAAUUUUUUUUAUAAUAUUCGGAUUUCCA